AUGGAAGCAGCCCCUGAGGAGCAAGGCAUAUGGAUACAUGCAUUAUCGUCUCCAGGCCUCUGCAUUGUCCCCAGAGAUGAAACCAGGAUGCAGAGUGGUCUGCCCACCAGCUCUCCCCAGCAGGGACCAGCAUGGGUCCUGCAGAGCCCAGACCUGGCAGCAGGAACAAUCGGCACACAGAAGACCCUGCAGCCUUUGGAGCCGCAUUCCCCCUUGUCCAAGGGCUUGGUCCUCAGAGCUUUCCUUAGAUUUAUUUAUACUGGAAAAAGUGUGGGAAAGGGAGAGGAGCAAAAGCAACCAAUUCCAUGCUGCAGAUUCAAAGUUCUGCUUUCCAACCUCAGAAUAUAAUAAAUGGCUGCUGACUUACUUGACAUGGAGAUAAAGUCUGUAGGGUGAAUUUUCAGAGCAACGCACAGGAAAUUAUAUGCACAAUUACUGUUGUUAACAGAGCCUGGGCAUGUAACUCCCUGCACAGCAGGCUGGAAAUCUUCCCCAUGCAUGUUUAAUGGGGUUUGGGUUGCUACAUUCCUAGGGCUGUGUCCCUUUUCUAAUGCCUGGUGUCCUGGAUGAAACAAAGGAAGUACUGAAUGUAAAAGAGAUUUCAUUUUGCUAUUAAAAUAAUAUUCUCUUUAUCUGCAGCCUUCCUCUAAUGCCGGAGAACUUCUUGCCUCACUCAGUGAUCCCUUAACCUUUCUGUGCUGUGAGAAAAAUACCGUGGCUUUAUUUAUUUAUUUAUUCUUCUAAAUGUCUUCCACACAACCUGCUCAUCGAUGUUCAUACAAAUGAGUGCAUACGUGUUCGUACAGGCAGCCUGCUUUCUUCUAAGGAUGGCUGUUGCUGAAGUAAGUGUAGGUCGUAACACGGAAAAUAUUUAUCUAAAUCUUAAUGCGUAAAUGCCUCUGUGUAAAGAAUAGAUGUGCACAUCUUCAUAGGAAAAUGAAUGGCAUGUGCCAUUUCACUAGGCAGACAUAUUUUAAAUGUCUCAGUGCUCAGGUUAUUAGUGUGUGUUACUUAAACUUUAGCCUGCUGUAAACUAGGAAGGGUUUGUAACUCUGGGAUGGUGUUGUGCUUCCAUGCUGUUUAUUUAGGUUUAUUUAUGGCAGUCGUUUUCUCUUCCUGUGAAGAAGACUAUCUCCUGCACCUCGAUCAAUUGAAAUGAACUUUAAUUAGCUCCAAUAAAAAAUAAAUUACUCCUUUAAACUGACGGUUU
rnacentral:lncRNA from 1 species